CAGGGAGACAACAAAAUGUUUAAUAUUAUUAUUUUGUCACCUUAGGUCGAUCGGUAUCUCACGUUUUUAAUUUAUUAAGAAUUUCAUUUCCUAAGUUUUUCUAGGUCACACCCAUUAUUUUUCCUGGGCCAUUAGCUCAGGUGGUUAGAGCGCACCCCUGAUAAGGGUGAGGUCCCUGGUUCAAGUCCAGGAUGGCCCAUAUCUCUAUGUUGGGGGUAUAGCUCAGUUGGUAGAGCGCCUGCUUUGCAAGCAGGAUGUCAGCGGUUCGAGUCCGCUUACCUCCACUGAUUACCACCUCUUCCAUAAUCUGUAGAAAGGAAAUGUUUUGAGUUGUGAUCAAAUUCUGAACGAAUCUAGCUUCCUAAUGAAAUCAUUAAGAUGCUGGACUCAGUGAAUCAAUUUCAUUGUUUUCAGAGAACCUUGACAACUGCAUAGAUUAUUUUUGAAAAGACAAUAAGCAUCUUUAAUGAUGCAGAUUUAUUAUUUGUGCGAAUGCAUUAAUAACAAUUCUAUUAAGCUGAUGCUUCAUUUUUGAAGUUAUU
rnacentral:tRNA from 1 species